AGUGAACGCUGGCGGUAGGCCUAACACAUGCAAGUCGAACGGCAGCACAGUAAGAGCUUGCUCUUACGGGUGGCGAGUGGCGGACGGGUGAGGAAUACAUCGGAAUCUACUUUUUCGCGGGGGAUAACGUAGGGAAACUUACGCUAAUACCGCAUACGACCUACGGGUGAAAGCAGGGGAUCUUCGGACCUUGCGCGAUUGAAUGAGCCGAUGUCGGAUUAGCUAGUUGGCGGGGUAAAGGCCCACCAAGGCGACGAUCCGUAGCUGGUCUGAGAGGAUGAUCAGCCACACUGGAACUGAGACACGGUACAGACUCCUACGGGAGGCAGCAGUGGGGAAUAUUGGACAAUGGGCGCAAGCCUGAUCCAGCCAUACCGCGUGGGUGAAGAAGGCCUUCGGGUUGUAAAGCCCUUUUGUUGGGAAAGAAAAGCAGCAGGUUAAUACCCCGCUGUUCUGACGGUACCCAAAGAAUAAGCACCGGCUAACUUCGUG
rnacentral:rRNA from 1 species